UGCUCCCACCCCCAACAAACUUUCACAAGCAAAAUUCAUUUUUUAGUCACAAUUUGAAUUCUAAAACGAAAAUAAAAUAAAAUCGCAUUUCCUGAAACAGUGACAAUUAAUGAAAGUUUUGUUCCGACGCAACAAUGACGAGAGGGAUCACCCGGGCGAGUAGCUAAGAGAAAAGCAGAUAGGAGGUCAAUUGCAGGAAGUAGAAGUUUUCUUUUCACAAAUACCGAAAUCUUUCCCAAAUCAACGAAGAAAAUAAAAAGAAAACAAAAUUCUUCGAGCGGAAGCAAAACAGAAAUAACUCGAAUUCAUCUGUGAGAGAGAGAGAGAGAGAGAGAGAGAGAGAUCCAGAGCUUAAGGAAUGGAGAAGAUGAACCAGGCCUAUGAGAAGGUGAAGAUGCUGGUGGGUAUGGAGGUGGAUGACGACGACCAUGAAGCUGCUUCUUCUUCUGCUCUACAGGAUACCAACUUCAUCGACGACUUCAAUCGCAACUGCACAUUGUCCACCAAACAGAGGUUUUACGGUUUCGCCAUAUGCUUGGCUGCCGGUUUAACUUGUACGCUCUUGUCGAUGCUUGUUUUCUUCCAUCCAAUCAAGUUUGGAAUUACAUUCACACUGGGAAAUCUUCUUUCACUUGGGAGCACAGCAUUCCUCAUUGGCCCUAAACGGCAAGUGACAAUGAUGCUUGACCCUGUCCGCAUUUAUGCAACAGCCAUAUACCUUGCAAGUAUAAUAAUUGCCUUGUUUUGUGCUCUUUACGUUCAUAACAAGUUAUUGACACUUUUGGCGAUACUUUUAGAGUUUGGUGCAUUGAUUUGGUUUGGAAUGGCAAACUGGGAUAGAGAGACAAGAGAGAGGAGAGAGAAUGAAAGGGGAAGAAAGGAACGGAAAUGUCCCCAAAAAAAGAAGUCGCAUGUGCUUCGCAUGUCAAAGGUUAAGAGAAUGUGGCAAAAUUAACGACAAGCUUGCCAUUGCAAAAGAAUCAGAGUUAGGGCGUAUUUAAAACUUAGUUUUUGUUCUUCCAAUGGGCAAAGUGCCAAACGAGACAAACUUCAUGGGGUAUAGGUAUAGCUUGAGCUACAUCCCUUUUGCUAGAGCCAUGUUAUCCAAGAUCAUGGUAGCUUGUUUUGACACUGAUUUUUAGGCUGAUAUUCGACAAGGAAACAGCUUGGGACUCAUCAAUCGGAGUAGAUAUUUCCCAAUAUUAGUUUUUGUUUUGUGGCCUUGCACACAGAGAGAGUCCAACCUAAAAGCACCACACGAUAUCGAAAUGUAUGUGUAUGGAUUGAGAUUGUAAUUUCUACCGUUGUUUAUCCUCAUGUCCAUAGAAGGAAGAUACUUCAUUUCAUUGCCGUGCUCAUAGAAUGUGAUCUCAGACAUCACUUUCUUCUUUUUAUCUUUGGUUCUUUUGAUUUACGCAAGAAUUUGAUAAUUCAGGUCCGUUUGGUGCAAGGUUUAGGAGCUUGGGAAUAGGUAUGAAAUUGCAUUCCCAUGUUUGGUAAGUACAUAUUUGGGAAUGGAAUAUCUCACUCA